rnacentral:rRNA from 1 species
AUGAACGCUGGCUACAGGCUUAACACAUGCAAGUCGAGGGGCAGCAUGGUCUUAGCUUGCUAAGGCCGAUGGCGACCGGCGCACGGGUGAGUAACGCGUAUCCAACCUGCCUUACACUCUUGGACAGCCUUCUGAAAGGGAGAUUAAUACAAGAUGUUAUCAUGAGUAAGCAUUUUCGCAUGAUUAAAGGUUUACCGGUGUAAGAUGGGGAUGCGUUCCAUUAGAUAGUAGGCGGGGUAACGGCCCACCUAGUCUUCGAUGGAUAGGGGUUCUGAGAGGAAGGUCCCCCACAUUGGAACUGAGACACGGUCCAAACUCCUACGGGAGGCAGCAGUGAGGAAUAUUGGUCAAUGGACGAGAGUCUGAACCAGCCAAGUAGCGUGAAGGAUGAAGGUUCUAUGGAUUGUAAACUUCUUUUAUACGGGAAUAAACGAAUCCACGCGUGGAUUUUUGCAUGUACCGUAUGAAUAAGGAUCGGCUAACUCCGUGCCAGCAGCCGCGGUAAUACGGAGGAUCCGAGCGUUAUCCGGAUUUAUUGGGUUUAAAGGGAGCGUAGAUGGGUUGUUAAGUCAGUUGUGAAAGUUUGCGGCUCAACCGUAAAAUUGCAAUUGAUACUGGCAGUCUUGAGUACAGUUGAGGUAGGCGGAAUUCGUGGUGUAGCGGUGAAAUGCUUAGAUAUCACGAAGAACUCCGAUUGCGAAGGCAGCUUACUAACCUGUAACUGACAUUGAUGCUCGAAAGUGUGGGUAUCAAACAGGAUUAGAUACCCUGGUAGUCCACACGGUAAACGAUGAAUACUCGCUGUAGGCGAUAUACAGUCUGCGGCCAAGCGAAAGCAUUAAGUAUUCCACCUGGGGAGUACGCCGGCAACGGUGAAACUCAAAGGAAUUGACGGGGGCCCGCACAAGCGGAGGAACAUGUGGUUUAAUUCGAUGAUACGCGAGGAACCUUACCCGGGCUUAAAUUGCAACCGAAUAUGGCGGAAACGCUAUAGCUAGCAAUAGCGGUUGUGAAGGUGCUGCAUGGUUGUCGUCAGCUCGUGCCGUGAGGUGUCGGCUUAAGUGCCAUAACGAGCGCAACCCUUGCCGAUAGUUACUAACAGGUCAUGCUGAGGACUCUGUCGGGACUGCCAUCGUAAGAUGUGAGGAAGGUGGGGAUGACGUCAAAUCAGCACGGCCCUUACGUCCGGGGCUACACACGUGUUACAAUGGGGGGUACAGAGGGCUGCUACCACGCAAGUGGAUGCCAAUCCCAAAAACCUCUCUCAGUUCGGAUUGAAGUCUGCAACCCGACUUCAUGAAGCUGGAUUCGCUAGUAAUCGCGCAUCAGCCACGGCGCGGUGAAUACGUUCCCGGGCCUUGUACACACCGCCCGUCAAGCCAUGGGAGCCGGGGGUACCUGAAGUGCGUAACCGCAAGGAGCGCCCUAGGGUAAAACUGGUGACUGGGGCU